GAUGGGAUUUACAUCUGAAAAACCAAGUGAGAAACUGAAGACCAGAGAGGGUGAGUGGUUUACUCAGUUUGGCACAACUGACCCCAACCUAGCCCUCCAUGAGGACUGAGCGCAUGAGAGAUCCUGAGCCACAGCCGCCCAGCCCUGCUCCUCUCGAAUUUCUGACCUACAGGAACUGCAAGAAGUAAUGAAAGACUGCUGUUUAAAGCCACUGCAUUUUGGCAUGAUUUGUUAUGCAGUCGUAGAUAACCAGAAAACAUCGGAUUUACAUUUUAAGGUAAACUUUUUAUUGAAACAUCACAUACACACAGAGACGUCCACCAAUUGGCUCGAUGAGCUUUCUCAAAGGAAACACAUUCUCUGAGCAGUGUGCACAUCCAGACACAUCAUCUCCAUCCUCCAGAAGCCCCCUCCUGUUAUCGCCACUCACAGGUCACCCGUCUCCUGACUUGCAGCCACAGAGAUAGUCCUGCCUAAUUCUGAACGUGGUACAAACGGAAUCAUACAGAAUGGGCUUGGCUUCUUUCACUCUGGGCUGUGUUUAUGAGCAUCACCCAGAUUGCUGCAUGGAAGCCAUCGUUUGUUCAUUUUCACCACCAUAGAGUAUUCUACUGUUGAUGGGACAUAGGCUAUUUAUUCCUUCUACUGUUGAGGGACGCAUAGUUAUUUCCAGCUGGAGACUGGUAUAUGUCUCUUGGCUACCUUCUGCAUGCAUUUCUGUUGGAGGUUGUUUCAGGUAUCUCUUAACGUAUAACAGACCACCCUCAAAUUGAGUCCUUGAAACAAUUACCAUUUUCUUCUUUCUCAGGAUUUGGUGCAUGGGAUGGGCUCAGUUGGGCAGUUCUUCUGUUCCAUGUGAUGGUACUGGGGCUGCAGUCAUUCAGAGGCUCAACUGGGCUGAACGUGCAAGGUUUCUUGCUCACGUGGCCAUCAGUGGUGCUGGCUGCUGUUGGGAGCUCCACUGGACUUCUGUCCAGAGCUCCUCAGCUCACCUCUCUGUAUCCUUGCCCUGUGGCUCAGGCUUCUAACAAUACAGAGGCUGGAUUCCAAGAGGAGGGAAUUAGAAGCGUUCAGCCUUCUUAAGACCAGGAUUCAGAUGUCCCAGACUGUCACUGUAUUGACCGGAGCAUUUACAGGCCAGCCUAGUAAUUUUUCCAUCUUGGGCAGGAAUGGGUGGCAUAUGCUGGGGGUAGGGGUAGCAUUGUUGGGGAUCAUCUUUGGAGCUGUGUGCCAAGGAGUAAAUUGCUGGGCUGCUUUCUACCUGAGGAAGUCCACUAUGCUUGCUUGUGGAGAGUGGAUUGUGUGCUCAGAGUCCACAAGGAUUUAAGAAUCCGAGCCCUGCUGCCCUUGCCUCAGCCUGUGCAUUAGGGCCCGGUGGUGAGAGCACUGAGCCAUUGUGAAUCAAGGCCCCUCCCUCGACCUGCAUACUAACAGGCCAGAAGAGCUUGCUUGAUUUUGGUCCUAGGCUCCUGCCUGUGGGUUGGAUUCCAGGGGCACUCUCUCCUCCACAAACCAGACGGUGGCAGGUACAUCCCCUCAAUGGAAAUUGCCCACACUUCACCCUAAAGACAGAUCCUGCUGUUCAGCAACAAUGUGAGUGGCCCACACAUUUGUCCAGCAUGAAACCGUUUGCAGAUUCCUUUCCAGUACACAGUCCCGUCAGCCGGUCACUUCACGAUGACAGCUCCUCGAAGCACCUUUUGGUUUGCAGUUGUGUAGCUUAGAAGUAGGAGCCUGCACGGCUUCAGGAAUUCACAGAAGGAGCACACUUUGUGCUUGGAGAAGUUAAUUAUAGGAAUAUCCUGCAACCUGCUGCUCUGAGCCUGUGCACCUGGGGUGUUUCCCUGGAGGUCCUGUGUAUGAGGAUACUCAUCAGCAUGGGGUUUGGGAAGCCUAGCAGUGGAGACAACCUAGGUGGUCCUCUCCAGGGGAGUAGGUAAGAGCCCUACAGCAGUGAAAAGCAUUGAAGGAAAAGUGUGUUCAGCAGUGCUCUUAAUCUGAUCAGAGCAGCCUGAACACAUUCUAAACACAGGGCAUUUAGAACUAGGGUAGAGGCACUAGAGCACCAUAGAUACAAACUCAGAUUCUGAAGGUAAAUGCCCAGGUUCAAAUCCAAGCCCCCUCGCCAAGUGACCAUGACUCCCCCGAGUCACCUGACCUCUGUGUUUACAUCCUCAAAGUUAAGUAGUCAGGAAAGGGGGCUUGGGGCUUGCCACAUGGAUGGUUGCCACUCUCCUUUGCAAAGUGUAGUCCCCAAAAACAGGUGGAAGAGGGAAGGGUCCAAUUAGAAGGCCGAGUACCAGCUGCCAUGAAUAUGCCAGAGCUGCUGGCUAGUGAUAAAUAACUGAAACCCAGGGGGACAGCAGAGCUUGGGUGACCAUACAUUCUAGGAAAGAAAACAUGCCUGUUGUCCUGGCUUUUUAUCCAGCUUAGACAAAGAUGGGCAAAGAAAAUAAUUUAGAAAAUGGUAGAGAUGGGCACAGAGAAAGGGCACGGAGGGAGGCACAAACAGAAGGCCAAGUGAUGGUGGAGGCAGACAUUGGAGAAAUGCCUUUACAAGCCGGGGAAUGCCAAGGAUGCUGGCAACCCUGGGAGUGGGAAGAACCUGGAACACACCCUCCGUCAGAGUCUCCAGAAGGAACUGGCCCUUCAUCACCUUUCGGACUUCUGGCCUCCAGAACUGGGCAAGAAAAUGUUUCUGCUGUUGGAGGCCAUCCAGCUGGUGGUCAUUUGUUAUGGUUGCCACAGAAAACGAAUAUAGAUUUAGACAUCUAAUUUGCAUAUAUAGAUAUGCAUGUGUAUUUGUUAAAUAAAAGAUAAAGCAU
rnacentral:lncRNA from 10 species